CCAUUGCUUCUUGGUCUUUUUUUUGUUUGUUUUUUUGCUUUUCUACGUCCUUAACU
rnacentral:sRNA from 1 species